CAGGGAGACAACAAAAUNNUAAUAUUAUUAUUUUGUCACCUUAGGUCGAUCGGUAUCUCGCAUUUUUAAUUUAUUAAAAAUUUCAAUUCCUAAGUUUUUCUAGGUCACACCCAUUAUUUUUCCUGGGCCAUUAGCUCAGGUGGUUAGAGCGCACCCCUGAUAAGGGUGAGGUCCCUGGUUCAAGUCCAGGAUGGCCCAUAUCUCUAUGUUGGGGGUAUAGCUCAGUUGGUAGAGCGCCUGCUUUGCAAGCAGGAUGUCAGCGGUUCGAGUCCGCUUACCUCCACUGAUUACCACCUCUUCCAUAAUCUGUAGAAAAGGAAAAUUUUGAGUUGUGAUCAAAUUCUGAACGAAUCUAGCUUCCUAAUAAAAUCAUUAAGAUGCUGGACUCAUUGAAUUAAUUUCAUUGUUUUCAGAGAACCUUGACAACUGCAUAGAUUAUUUUUAAAGACAAUAAGCAUCUUUAAUGAUGCAGAUUUAUUAUUUGUGCGAAUGCAUUAAUAACAAUUCUAUUAAGCUGAUGCUUCAAUUUUGAAGUUAUU
rnacentral:tRNA from 1 species